rnacentral:miRNA from 1 species
CCUAGUUAAAUUUGAAUUUCAGAUACAUUAAAAAAAUUGCAGUAUAAGUAUAUCCCAUGCAAUACUUGGGACAUAUUUAUACUAAACACUAAGUUGUUGAUUAUCUAAAAUGCAAAUUUAGC